CCUCGGGGGCGCUGCCCUGGGUCUUCAGGGUUGAGGAGCAGACAUGGUUAACGCUCUCUCCCUUCCUCCCUCCAUUUAUUUCUGUGCACCCUUCCCCUCUGCAGGUGGGGAGGGGAGACCCCGGCCCUGGACAGCGGUGCCGUGGCUGAGAGCCGGGGGCUGCCCAGGCCCAGCCUGAUGAUGUCCGCUGGAGCCUUGGGUCUAGAAGGAGCCCCCACUGGGCCUGGGGGGAGGGGUCUCUGGAAAGGUGGGUGUCCCACACCCCACACAGUCUCACCAGGACGGGCUGGGCCUCUUGCCCCUCACUGGUGUGGAGCCAGCCAGCCUGGCGUCUGGGAUGAUCCCAGCCACGGUGAAAGCUUUGAGGGACCCCUGGACUGGGAGGGGGGCUUGUGGCCUGAAGGGCAGCUUGUCUCUGCCGAGGCGGGAGGCUGGUCCCACCCAACCACAGGCUGGGCUGAAGCCCUCUCUGCCCCACCCCCUGCCCUAGGCCCCAGUGCCCCUCCCCUGAGUCCCUGACCCAGGGCAGAUCAAUGUGGCAGCGGGGUACCGGAGAGAAGGACUCACCCACACGCCCAGAGCCCCCAAGUCAUCUGUUUAACAGGCGUCCUGCACCAAGGAGUGAGUUGGAGCCCCCGCCCCCAGGCUUGCCCGAGUGAGCCCGGUGCAGGAGGGCCAGAGGGCAGACCCAGUGGGGUGUGGGAAGGCAGGUGUGGGGGGGCAUGUGUGAGCUGAGAGCAGUGCCUCAGGUGGGGUCCCCAGGAGUCCGGCAGGGAGGGAGUGAGGAGCCGAGGAGGAGGUGGCCCCCACAGCUGGCCCAGAGAACGGGCAGGGACGAGUUGGGCCAGGGGCUGGGGGUGGGCACAUUGGGGGGUGGGCGCGAGGGAGGCCCGGCAGGCCCUGGCAGUGCUGGAGGGGCUGGUGUGCGUGGGUGGUGGCCUGCACACAGCGAGCAGACCAGGCGCGCAGCAUCAGGCCAGGGCCAGGGAAUAGGAGGGGACGGCCCGUCCUCAGCUGUGGGGACCUCGCCCUUGGGCCCUCCAGGGAUGGUCACGGCCAUGACUUUGCGCAGUGAAUAGUCACUUCAUGGGGGAGCAGAGGCCGGCCCCCUCACCACCCUGGGGACGCUUCCCAGGGGGUCAGCCUGGACUGACAAGCCUUCUGGGAACAAGCGCAGGUGGACAGAGCCGGGGUGGUCCAGAAGGGCCAGUGCAGAGACAGGAGGACCGGGCCCGCUCUGCACUGUGGGUAUUCCAGGGGUCACAGUUGUCGCCAGGGGGACUGGGGAGGGGGCCCGCACUGGCCAGGCAGAAUCCAGUAGUGGAGAGUAUGGGAUGAUGAUGUUCCCUGUCACCCUGGGAAAGGGCCACAGGUUGCAGGGAGGCUGUGAGGACUGAGUGGUCAGAGGAGUCAGCUCCCACGGGGUGUACCCAGGUCUGCUGUGUGCCAACCAGGGUGCUGGCUGGAGGGAAUGGGCACUCAGGGAUGACCACACAAGUGGCCCACCCCUUUACGGGAAGUCUUCCUUCAAGAAAACAGGAGCCUCACCUCUCAGGACCCGCCCGCCUCCCUCUUGGAAAUAAGUAGUGACAAAAUGUGUUGGGGACAUGGUGGCUCAGUGCAGGGCGGAGGGACUCAGGCCCCAGCACCUUGUCCCAGGCAGCUGAGGGGAGCUCACUGACCAGGAGCCUUUCCCGAGGUCUGAGGCUCCGUCCCAGAAGGUGCUGCGGUCACAGGGCUGGGGAGGCAGUCUUGAAAAGGGCAGACUGUUACAACGGCCAUGGCCACAGUGGAAGGCUGGGGUGGGCUCCGCCGGAGGCCUGGAGGACACGCCGCGCAGCCAGGCCACCAGGAGCACACUAGGAGUGGCACCAGCAUCGUGUGGAGGCCUGCGGAGGCCCCUGGCAGGGUCUGCUGACGGUGGGAGAGGCUGUCACGGAACGGGCAGUGACAGGGAUGGUGGCCCCUGGCCACCGGGGGCCAGGUGGACACAGCAGGAGUGGGGCCGGGCCAAGGGCCUGAGGUGCCGAGGUGGUGGUGAACAGGACACAGCGUUCUCGGAGACUGGACAAGCGUCCAAAGAGAGGAAAUCAAGGAUGCAUGACCAGGAGGUCCCAAUUAGAAGUCGUGGUCCUUUGCCCAGUUUCCAGGCUUCAGGCAGAGUCCAGACCCAGAACCCAGGGGGUAAGAGGGGGCCAGGUCCUCAGGAAGCAAACUGUAAGUCUGCACUGUGGGGAUGGUGCCAGGCCCUCCCCAUGACCCUGUGACUGAACGUAGGGGAGGGGACAUGCCCGGGCAUGUGAGGACUGCUGGACACGGGGUUCCAGUUGACGCUGGUAACCUGAGGCCCAAAGCAUGACUGCAGCUCCCCGAUUGGAGUGGGGGUCCCACAAAUGUGAUUCCAGCCAGGGCCUGAUCCCUGACUUUGGGUCUGCACACCCAGCCAGCAGUCCGUUCUCAAAGCCCAGAGUGGACAAGUGGAAUGGACAUACUGGAUGGUUGAUAUCACGUCCUUGGCCACCGGCAUGGACAAGGCCAGCGGAAGUGUCUGUAACUGCCCCCAACCGAGACGGUGGCGAGCAGUGUGCCCUCCUGGGCCCUGCUUUACAGGUGAAGACACUGAGGCAGGGGCGCUCCGCCGUUGGCUCCAGACCUACGCGCCUUGGGGAAGGGGCCAGGCAGUCCUCUGAGGGGUGACCGCUGAGUGGGACCCCGGAGGCGGGACGGAGCCAGAGCCAGCCCCCGGGUGCCCUAGCAGGACAGCAGCACGAAGGCCCCGAGGAAGGACCACACUUGGAACGUUCCAGGAACCAGGAAUUCAGGGGUGCUUGGCCUUGUCCCCCACCACAGAGACGGAGGCAAAGCCAGGGAGGCCAGCUGAGGCCCGCGGGGGUCCAGGGAGAAGCCAACACGAGACUGGGCCGGGGUGGGAUCCACCUGCCAGCAUGUGGUCCCCUGCCCAGCGAGGACCCGGAGUCCUGCCUGCAGGAGUUCCCUUGCAGUGCCAUAGAUGCAGCAAGGGGACGCGUGAGCGCUGAGGUCCUUGGUGCCAGGCGGCCGCCCCCAGGGUGACAGCCGCCUGGACGGGGGGGGGGGGGAGGUGCGGGGUGCUCCAGGAGGCAGGUGCUCACUUGGGGUCAGCUGAGCCCGGGGAGCUGGCCGCUCCCGCCGGCGAGAACACUCUCGGGGGCCUCGGAGGGGCCUCUGCAUGAAGCCACAGCCUGCAUUUUUCUCAACUUCAUUCUUGGGUGAGAAACUGGCCCCAGGGGCUUACGAUGGCCUCUCUUCUCCAACUGCAGCCCCGAAGGCAGGAGGGCCGUGUCCGGCCCUGGGGGUCCUGCCUCCACCACACCCACUCUCCCAGCCAAG